rnacentral:rRNA from 1 species
AUUGAACGCUGGCGGCAGGCCUAACACAUGCAAGUCGAACGAGUGGCGGACGGGUGAGUAAUGUCUGGGAAACUGCCUGAUGGAGGGGGAUAACUACUGGAAACGGUCGCUAAUAACGCAUACCAUCGGAUGUGCCCAGAUGGGAUUAGCUAGUAGGUGGGGUAAAGGCUCACCUAGGGGACGAUCCCUAGCUGGUCUGAGAGGAUGACCAGCCACCCUGGAACUGGGACACGUUCCAGACUCCUCCGGUAGGCAGCAGUGGGGAAUAUUGCACAAUGGGCGCAAGCCUGAUGCAGACAUGCCGCGUGUAGGAAGAAGGCCUUCGGGUUGUAAAGUACUUUCAGCGGGGAGGCGUUACCCGCAGAAGAAGCACCGGCUAACUCCGUGCCAGCAGCCGCGGUAAUUC